rnacentral:rRNA from 1 species
UACGUAGGGGGCAAGCGUUGUCCGGAAUCAUUGGGCGUAAAGAGCGCGUAGGCGGUCCGGUAAGUCGGCUGUGAAAGUCAGGGGCUCAACCCCUGAAAGCCGGCCGAUACUGCCGGACUAGAGUCCGGAAGAGGCGAGUGGAACUCCUGGUGUAGCGGUGGAAUGCGCAGAUAUCAGGAAGAACACCAACGGCGAAGGCAGCUCGCUGGGACGGUACUGACGCUGGAGGCGCGAAAGCGUGGGGAGCGAACAGG